AGUAAUAAUUAAUAUUCAAAAUUGAAAAAUUAUAAAAUUUUGCAUUCAAUUUUAUCAAUAUUAAAAAACGGAUUAUAUUAAUUUUGAUAAAAUAAAAAAAUAUAUUUAAAAAAAAAAAUUAAUUUUUCCAUUUCUUCAACACAAUAAAAUUUGGGAAUUCCCUUGUUUUGAAGACGCAUUGAAAUUGUUUUAAAUUAUAUUAUCAAAAAUAAGGACAGUAACAAUUAUUGAAAUACAUUGUUCUAUUUUACAAGGAUCGAAGUCACAUGUAAGCGGGUCGCUAGCGUGUUUAUAAUGUAAUUUUAGAAACUGGUCACUUAUAUGAAUAUCGACCUCCUCGACACCGUAAAAUGCAGACUAGACCGGACGUUUAUUUUAUUGAUUAUUUUAUACUCAGCACUCGGUUAGCAGAAAUUCCAACGAUAUUGACAGUAUUAUAUUUGGUCUUGUACGCCACGGUAAAUCUUACCAGGGUACAUUUAUGAUAUGAAGAGAUAAUUCUUAAAAUUGCCGCCAAUUUUGGCUGAUGAGAAUCACGCUUUUAGUUUCUUUUUUAAAAAAAAGAAAUAAUUCUAAAACGGAGUUUUAAUUUGAAAUGAUUUUUGAAAAAUGUCUCAAUUAACGUAUGAAUGUGAUUAUGGAAUCAAAAAUAAUAGUGAGGAUAGUGCACCAUUUAAACCCUGUUCUCCUGAUAAAUAUUGUAUACUUUGCAACGCACAAUGUUGCCUAACAAUACAAAGAAGAGUUCCACGACAUUUUUGGGAAAGUUGGUAUUUUUGGCUUGGAGUUGGACUUCUUCUUAUUUUUAUAGUGUCAACUACCAGCAGCUUUUUGAUUAAUUAUUGCAAACAAAAUGUAUUUUCGUUUGUUUAUCGUCCGAGAAAUAGUUCAACGGCUCCAAAUAAUAAUAAUAAUAAUACUCCUAAUCCUCGAAAUGAAAUUGCAAUUAAUAUUAUUUCUCCAUUGCCGUCGCAUGCAAAAAUGCUUUUGGUCACUCCUCAAUCAAGUUGUGGCUAUAUGACUCCUGUAGUUGCAUGACACAAGAUAAUUUGGAAUGAAAUUUUGAGUAAUGUGAUAUCAAAAUUCUUCGAUUCGAAAAAAUUAUUGAAAUGUAUAUGCCUUUGCAUGAAGAAUAACUAUUUUCUAUUUAAUUCUGUUUGAAGAUAAGAGUUUAUCAUUAUAAGAGAAAAGAUUGUGGUCAUUUCUUCAAUUUCAAAAAAUUCACUUCAAUGCACAGGAUUAUUCGAAUGAUUGAAAUUCACAUUAAAGAAGAUUUAUGCAAGAGAAAAAUUUUUUAAUCGCACUCUAUAAAUUGGAAUUUUUAAUUAUCAUUGAAAGAAAAAUAACUUUAAAUUUUCGAGAAGAAUUACAGAAAAAAAAUUAUUUUACUAUAAUAUGGAAUAAUAAACUUCAAUUUCGAUAAUAUUAAGAAUAGAAGACUCCUUUUAUAAUUGCAAAUAUUCUCUUAAAAAUUUCUUCCUGCUUUUAAAACGACCAAUUAAAAAAAAAAAUUUCAUUAAUUAAAAAACAUUUUCUACUUUUUUCAUUUCUCUGCAAAUUUUAUUAACUUUCAACUUGUAAAAUUAAGAGUAUUUUUAAAUAUAUUAUAGUAAUUAGAUUUAAAAAAGAAAAAAAUUCGAUACUUAUAAUAUAUAAAGUAUAAAUUAAGUGUGAAAGAAGAAAUUAAGUAAAAUCGAAGGUUGUUUCGUGUUUUUAAAGAAGUGUUAAAAGCAGAAAGUCUUAGUUAAACUUUAUUUACGAGCUGUACUUAAUUAUACCUUUAAUUAAUCAGUUUUAAAUCUUGAAGUUUAUUCCGUAAUUAGCCUGCUUUAGCCAAUCCUGUUUCAACUAUGUGUGUAUUUACCGAUUCGCGAUUCAAGAUGCUACAUACUUAACUCCGUUAAGUAAAGUCCUUUUUUUUUUUUUGUUAUCCCUUUUUCUCAGAUCAACGAUAACGCGAUGGGGACAACGCGAAUCGCAAGAUCUUACAUUAGCGUUUUUUGUCGAGAGAGUACCGAGAAAAAAAAAAUUACCAAUGUUUUUUCGAAAGUAAAUUUCACUCGAAUUUAAUGUUUCAAAUUCCUGAUAAAUUAUAAAUAAAAAAAAAUUUUCCAUUAUUAAUUAUUAAUUAAUGCCAUAGUUAUUAAUUAAUGUUCAUUUUUUCAAAAUCAAAUUUUUAUUUAUAAUAUUUUAAUUAUAAUGAUUUAAUAAAAUUGAUAAUUAGAGUAAAAUAUAAUUAAUUGAAAUCAAUAAAAAUAAAUUGAUUUUAAUUUUUUUUAGUAUAAUAAUAUAUUAAGAAUCUAGAACAAAACCUAGAUUUAUGAUAUAUUUAUACUAAAUUGUGACUAUAAUAAUUCUCAGCCAGGUAAUAUAUGGCUUUUAUAAGGGAAAGUAUAUAUAUUACAAUUGAUUAAUCAAUAAAAUAAAAGCAUUGUUAAUGUAAAAGAAUCUUCACCUUCAUAUAGGUGAACAUCACACUAUUGUAAAUAGUUUUCUAUAUAAGUUAUAUAUAUGUAAAUAUAGAUAUAUUCACAGGGUGCCUUUAAAGACUUUUUGUACAAAAAGUAGUAUUAUUUUUAUUGAUUUAAAUUUCUGUUUAUAUGAAUCAAUUA